UACGAAGGACCCGAGCGUUAUCCGGAUUUAUUGGGUUUAAAGGGUGCGUAGGCGGAUUUAUAAGUCAGUGGUGAAAUCUCCCCGCUCAACGGGAAACUGCCAUUGAAACUAUUUAUCUUGAGUACAUUUGAGGCGGGCGGAAUGUGUCAUGUAGAGGUGAAAUUCUUAGAUAUGACACAGAACACCAAUUGCGAAGGCAGCUCGCUAAACUGUAACUGACGCUGAGGCACGAAAGCGUGGGGAUCAAACAGG
rnacentral:rRNA from 1 species